UCACUGGUAUCUCAGCUGGUAAAGAAUCUGCCUGCAAUGCAGGAGACCCAGGUUCAAUCCCUGGGUUGGGAA
rnacentral:tRNA from 1 species